AUCAGAGGACCCACAGCCAUGAUUACAUUGAAGCUUUUCCUUUGAAGGCAUCAAGAAGGAACUACUAUUUCUGCAAGUUCAUUUUGUCUUUAGGUACCUAAAAAUCAUUAUGCCUGUUCACACAUGAGGAAAUCAUGACCCACAUAGGAAGCCAGAAUUGCUACAAAAUACCCUACCAUCUACAGGACAGACCCCCACAACAAGAUAUUACCUGUAAUUUCCUCACUCAUGGCCCUGUCAAGCCAGAGACUCCACCAGAAAAGUUGUCAUGGUCUCAUUGAUGAAGUCACAUCAAAUCGAAGGUGGGGACUUGGAAGCACUGAAGGACAUAUAGAAGGUAAUCGUGGUCCCUGGAUUUACCUGGCUCUGCAGCCCACGAGAGCACUUCUGUUUACCCAGCAUGGUGGCCUGUUUCCCAUGUGUGGAUGACUGG